UGGUGGUGUGAGGUAGUAGUUUUAGCCAAGUCUCUACAUCCAGACCAUCACAGGGGAGGAGAGGGACCGAGUCCUUGUGUCAUGUUUUGGAGAUGGGAGAAGGAAGGAACAGCAAACCCGGAUGCAGGAUGUCACAGAAACCAGGUGCCCAAUUUUUUGCGGUGGCUACAACCCAAGGAGAGGACCUUCCCUGCCCUCCCCAGCUGAGAACAAGCAUUGUGAGCAAAUGUCCCUAUGCUGCUCGGAUGCCUGGAGAUGCCCACUGCAGAGGAAGGACUUGUACCAAAAUUUCUGCAGACUCUUUACAUGCCACGCUCUCCUGACAGAGUGAAAUGUGCUUUGGUUGGCAUUCCCUGGCACAAGCAAAAUGAGCUGGUGACACACAGAAGGAUCUUGGGUACAGGGCUUGCCUGUGCUCCAGGAGUUUCCAGCUGAGGAUGGUGCAGUCAGGGGCAUCUUAUUUUAGGUUAAGGAAAACAACAAGGAAAGGAAGAGCAAAUAUAACUCCCCAGGAGACAGCAAGCCUGCUGUGUCUGCCUCGGCAAGGACCUGUGCCUUGGAUGUCUGUAAAACUCAAACCACUGACGUCCUGCAGAGGGGAGAGAAGUCAACAACUCUCCACGGCCACGCAGCCUACAAAGAGGGAAAAUUCAAAAGAAACAUUAACCAGGAACAAGUCUCUGGGCUGAGAACCAAGAGAUCUGACACUGCUUCACCAGUUCUGGCUGAGAAGAGCUGUGGGGUGACUGGGAACAAGCCCAGUUCCCUCCCAGCAUGUCUGCUCCCUGUCCUGCUCUUUGGCUGUUUGAACCAAAGAGCCUGGACAGGCACUGGAUCUCUAAAUGUACCUCCACACACUUACAAUAUGAAAACCAAACCCAGCCAUUUCUUCCCACUGUAAUGUCACCCACCUCUAGGAAAGCUCCUCCAGAGUUUCGAGGGCUGUUCCUGCAGUUGGAGCCACUUGGCUUUUGUGGCAAGGUGGAGAAAAUCUGGCUUCCCUUUGGAAUCUGAUCAUUCAUUUUUUUAUCUCGAGCCAGGCUGUUGGAGAACUCUGAGUAUGGAUGAGGAUGCAUGAAGGUCCCUUCACCUACAUGAAAGGGAGAACGUGGGUGCUUGCUCUGAAGAUACAAGAAAAUAGGAGCUCACAGAAAGGUAAGAGAGAGGCAAAGAGAGAUCCAGGAAUGAGGGGAAUGGAAGAAACACUUGGACAUUUUCUAGGAUGUGUUACACC
rnacentral:lncRNA from 1 species